GUGGUGUCAGGGUGUUUAGCAGGGUGUGGUGUCAGAUAUUUUGCAGGGCAUGGAGUCAAGGAGUUUAGCAGGGUGUGGUGUCAGAUAUUUUGCAGGGCAUGGAGUCAAGGAGUUUAGCAGGGUUUGGUAUCAGGGUGUUUAGCAGGGUUUGGUGUCAGGAGCUUUUCAGGGUGUUGUGUCAGUUAGUUUUGUACUAUGUGGUGUCAGGGUUGGUUGGCAGAGUUUGGUGUAAGGGUAUUUGCAUGAGUUUGGUGUGAGGAUUUUAUCAUGGUUUGUGUCAAGGAGUUUUGCAAUGUUCGGUGUCAGGGUGUUUAGUAGGAUGUGGCAUCAUAUAGUUUAGCAGGGUUUGUUGUCAGGGAGUUUAGCAGGGUGUGGUGUCAGGGAGUUUAGCAGGAUGUGGUGUCAGGUGGUUUAGCAGGAUGUGGUGUCAGGUAUUUUAGCAGGAUGUGGUGUCAGGUAGUUUAGCAGGAUGUGGUGUCAGGUAGUUUAGCAGGAUGUGGUGUCAGGUAGUUUAGCAGGAUGUGGUGUCAGGUGGUUUAGCAGAAUGUGGUGUCAGGUGGUUUAGCAGGAUGUGGUGUCAGGGGGUUUAGCAGGAUGUGGUGUCAG
ensembl:lncRNA